rnacentral:rRNA from 1 species
UACGGAGGGGGCUAGCGUUGUUCGGAAUUACUGGGCGUAAAGCGCACGUAGGCGGACUGGAAAGUCAGGGGUGAAAUCCCGGGGCUCAACCCCGGAACUGCCUUUGAAACUCCCAGUCUUGAGUUCGAGAGAGGUGAGUGGAAUUCCGAGUGUAGAGGUGAAAUUCGUAGAUAUUCGGAGGAACACCAGUGGCGAAGGCGGCUCACUGGCUCGAUACUGACGCUGAGGUGCGAAAGCGUGGGGAGCAAAC